rnacentral:lncRNA from 1 species
GAAAGUUGGAGGAGCCCCGAGCCAGCACCUCCUCCUGUCCCAGCGGAAGCUUGAUCUCCAAACUAAGCCUCUGUUUCUGAGCUGGCGGGGGGCAGCAGCUGCCGCAGAGGGCAAGAUUUCAUUUAUUUAUUUAUUUGAGAAGAAGAGAGGGGAGAGGGGAGCCUAAGCCGGGGAAGGGAGGAGGACAGGAAAGAGCCCGAGCAGCACAGCGCCUCCAGGUCUCCAUCGGACGGCCCUGAAUCGUGAGCUGGGCC